GCUGCUGUAGCCCAAUUGGAAGAGGUGCUGGUCUUAGAAACCAGAGGUUGUGGGUACCGCUUCGCGGAAGCAAGCUACAACUCCCACCAGCAGUACCA
rnacentral:tRNA from 1 species